AGUGAACGCUGGCGGUAGGCCUAACACAUGCAAGUCGAACGGCAGCACAGUAAGAGCUUGCUCUUACGGGUGGCGAGUGGCGGACGGGUGAGGAAUACAUCGGAAUCUACUUUUUCGUGGGGGAUAACGUAGGGAAACUUACGCUAAUACCGCAUACGACCUACGGGUGAAAGCAGGGGAUCUUCGGACCUUGCGCGAUUGAAUGAGCCGAUGUCGGAUUAGCUAGUUGGCGGGGUAAAGGCCCACCAAGGCGACGAUCCGUAGCUGGUCUGAGUGGAUGAUCAGCCACACUGGAGCUGAGACACGGUCCAGACUCCUACGGGAGGCAGCAGUGGGGAAUAUUGGACAAUGGGCGCAAGCCUGAUCCAGCCAUACCGCGUGGGUGAAGAAGGCCUUCGGGUUGUAAAGCCCUUUUGUUGGGAAAGAAAAGCAGCAGGUUAAUACCCCGCUGUUCUGACGGUACCCAAAGAAUAAGCACCGGCUAACUUCGUG
rnacentral:rRNA from 1 species